UGGGGAAUAUUGGACAAUGGGCGAAAGCCUGAUCCAGCAAUACCGAGUGAGUGAUGAAGGCCCUAGGGUUGUAAAGCCCUUUUAGCAAGGAAGAUAAUGACGUUACUUGCAGAAAAAGCCCCGGCUAACUCCGUGCCAGCAGCCGCGGUAAGACGGAGGGGGCUAGCGUUGUUCGGAAUUACUGGGCGUAAAGAGUGCGUAGGCGGUUUAGUAAGUUGGAAGUGAAAGCCCGGGGCUUAACCUCGGAAUUGCUUUCAAAACUACUAAUCUAGAGUGUAGUAGGGGAUGAUGGAAUUCCUAGUGUAGAGGUGAAAUUCUUAGAUAUUAGGAGGAACACCGGUGGCGAAGGCGGUCAUCUGGGCUACAACUGACGCUGAUGCACGAAAGCGUGGGGAGCAAACA
rnacentral:rRNA from 1 species